AACCGUGUACGUACAAGCAGUGGGAGCCCCACCACCAAAGCAUUCUCUGGUGUUGAAGGCCCUGCAAAGCAGCAUCGCGGUGGCGGAGCGUCGUUUGCGACGCCCAACACACAAAACAAGCGGUGAGUGCUUUGGGGUGGGGUGACUGCGUACCUUUUGUAUAAUGGGUCAGCGACUUAUAUUCUGUAGCAAGGUUAACCGAAUAGGGGAGCCGGAGGGAAACCGAGUCUUAAUUGGGCGUUAAGUUGCAGGGUAUAGACCCGAAACCCGGUGAUCUAGCCAUGGGCAGGUUGAAGGUUGGGUAACACUAACUGGAGGACCGAACCGACUAAUGUUGAAAAAUUAGCGGAUGACCUGUGGCUGGGGGUGAAAGGCCAAUCAAACCGGGAGAUAGCUGGUUCUCCCCGAAAGCUAUUUAGGUAGCGCCUCGUGAAUUCAUCUCCGGGGGUAGAGCACUGUUUCGGCUAGGGGGCCAUCCCGGCUUACCAACCCGAUGCAAACUGCGAAUACCGGAGAAUGUUAUCACGGGAGACACACGGCGGGUGCUAACGUCCGUCGUGAAGAGGGAAACAACCCAGACCGCCAGCUAAGGUCCCAAAGUCAUGGUUAAGUGGGAAACGAUGUGGGAAGGCCCAGACAGCCAGGAUGUUGGCUUAGAAGCAGCCAUCAUUUAAAGAAAGCGUAAUAGCUCACUGGUCGAGUCGGCCUGCGCGGAAGAUGUAACGGGGCUAAACCAU
rnacentral:rRNA from 1 species